UGAGGAAUAUUGGUCAAUGGGCGAGAGCCUGAACCAGCCAAGUCGCGUUAAGGAAGACAGUCCUUAGGAUUGUAAUCUUCUUUUAUACGGGAAUAACGGGCGAUACGAGUAUUGCAUUGAAUGUACCGUAAGAAUAAGCAUCGGCUAACUCCGUGCCAGCAGCCGCGGUAAUACGGUGGAUGCGAGCGUUAUCCGGAUUUAUUGGGUUUAAAGGGUGCGUAGGUUGUUCGGUAAGUCAGCGGUGAAACCUGAGCGCUCAACGUUCAGCCUGCCGUUGAAACUGCCGGGCUUGAGUUCAGUGGCGGCAGGCGGAAUUCGUGGUGUAGCGGUGAAAUGCAUAGAUAUCACGAGGAACUCCGAUUGCGAAGGCAGCUUGCCAUACUGCGACUGACACUGAAGCACGAAGGCGUGGGUAUCAAACAGG
rnacentral:rRNA from 1 species